AGAUCAACAGACGGAGGAUUGGCUUUUCGGACUCUGAGAGCCGAGUCGACUCCAAGAGAACCCGAGUCGACUCGAGAGAGAAAAGCAGAGAAAUGAAUUUCUGGAACCCUGAGAACGAGCUAUCUCCAAAAGUGCCGCGUCAUCUCUAGAUAUUGGCGAGUCGACUCCAGGUUUGGUUCGAGCCGACUCCAGGACGGGACAGCACUUUAAUUCAAAUCCUGAACAGUGGGGGAGUCGUCUCUAGUGAAGCAUGAGUCGACUCCAACAACAGCUGAGUCGACUCCAGAUCGAGCGAGUCGACUCCAACCCCAACGGAUACAUUGUCAGGAUGUGCAGACUGUACAGAACGGCUACAAAUCAGUGUCUAACGGCUAUUUUUCGUAGGGAACAGUUUAAAUAGCCAGAGUAAACAGUAGUAGAUGAGAUUUGAGCCAUUCCAUUGUGUGCAUUAAAGCUUUUCAACCACCAAGAUCCUCUUGAGAAAAAAUACAAGCAAAAGAAGGGAGAAGUACAUUCAACUCAACCCAACAAGUACUUCCUUCGCAAUCAAGGCUCUACUACUGUCAUUCAAUCUUCUGUGCAUUCAAAAGAAGACUCAGAAAUCGAGAAGCCCCUACUUUUCCUUCCAACAUCUGUUUGAGGGCUUCUAACCUUUCUCUAUUAAUAUUGUUCACAUUUGCUUUUUAGAAGCUUUUCUGGUGAUUUUCCCAAACUGUUUUUCUUACUUGAUUCAAUCAAGGGAUUGAAUCAAGGGUUGUAAGGUUUGUUGGUGAGCC
rnacentral:lncRNA from 1 species